CCGACCACGAUUCCCGGGGCAAAGAGAAUUCUCAAGACACGGAGGAUGGAAAACGUUAAUGAUGAAUCUUCAGAUUCUUGACGUGGCUAAUCCUCUGUCACGCUUCAGGAUCACAGCUGAGACGUCCUGAGGGUUCCAGAAUUCAGGCGGGGCAGGGACGAUGCCACAGCCCAACCGCGUUCGGCUUCGUCUCCUGGGACUGUGACGCUGUCCCGGCUUCUCCUGUGGCGAGGUGUCACUGGCUACGGCCGGUGCACAGUGGACACAGAAGAGAAGGUAGGAGCCGUCCCUGCCGCAGUCACCGGGAAGCCCUGUGCUCCGGACAACACAGCCACAGGAGGCAGGGAGCCCGGGCGGGGCGCUCCGGGGGGCCUUCCCAGGUGGGCGGCGGGUGUCGCCGACAGGAAGCGACCUUUGUGUGUGCAGCGUGAGGCUGCGAUGCGCUGGGGAGGCUGGCCUUACACUUCACCUGACAACCAGCUCCAGCUUUCCGAUGGGACCAAACCCACGUGCUCCUUCACCCACAUGCGCACUCAGUGCCACGGGGUCACCAGGUAACCAAGUGUCCUAACACCCGCCCAGCAGGGUGACGCCUCCCUGAGGGCCCCGCGACACGGUGCCGGCACAUUCAGGGACCCGCGGAAACGUUUUCGUUUUCGUUUCCUUGAAAACCAGGAGUAAAGAGAAUACGGGAAGAACGACUCCGACCUGGACUAUAGCCCUCUUUACACCCACGCAGAUAUACGUAAAAACGUGACACUUGAUAUUUUCACGGGGCCCAGGAAAGUCACAACGCAGCCUGGAUGCUGGGUCCCACCUCUAGGAGGGACCCCACGCCUGUCUGGGUUGAGGGAGCGCGGUCUGCUCUGGAAAGUCUCCCCAGAUGCGACCCAGGGAUGAAAGGAGCUCGCGAGGGUUCCUUUCUGGCUGUGACAAGUGUCUGGUGUCGCGGACCAUCUGAUGCCUCAUCCCAGAGCGGACGACCAGCAAGCUGGGGGCAAAGCAGUGAGGCGCUAGGAAGAUGCCCCGGGGGAACAAGCCACAAAGCAGCCACAGGCACACGUAAAACACACGGCACCGACACCGCUUGCCUUGGCCAAGUCACUUAAACUGACUGUGCCUCAUUUUCCCCUGGGUCGUCAUGGAGAUGAAGUGAACAUGUGCACCAAGCCCUAGAUGUCCCCAGACGCAUCCCUAGAACGGCACUUGGCACGGAGUAAGUGCUCGAUAAACACUAUAGUCACUGCUAUUA